UCGGGAGUUGAGAGAAGCAUUAUUCGUUCAUGUUAUUUCUUUUCUGAAACUUUUCUCCGAGUAUUGAUUGCUCCCUUCCAACCCUAGGACGUCUUCCCUAGAGGGCGUUUGAUGGUUUGGACAGAAACCUGAACCAUCCAUGAUAACAGCGCUUCGAUCCUAAUCUUCAAGGCGUGAGAAGAUUUGUUGUGGAAGUGUGGAAUAGAAAUAUAGAAACAAGCAUCCCCUGCAAAUUUUCAUCAAUCUGCUACCGUGGCUGUCGAAUCUGCUAACCAUUGUGGAGUUUGUUUGAAUCUAAAUGCCAUGGGAGUUGUGAGGGAGGUCACAGAGCUUGCUGGGAGGUUGUGAGUUCUUGUUGAACGCUACAGUGGUCGUGAAUAGUGUCACAGCUACAGUAUUUGGGUUCUUUGAGCAGUGAUUAAUUUCCUUUGCUGGUGUAGAGUACUUCUGAAUUCCCUUUUUGCUAUACUGUUCUAUUUAUUAGCUGCUGGUGAAUGUUCCUUGGUAUUGCUGUGACAUAUAAGCUCAGUGGACUGUUUGUAUAUUGCUGCUAUAUUGAAGGUUAGAUGCUGUCACAACUUUUCAGAACUGGCAAAAAACCCUCGAAGUUGUAUUUUGUGCAUAUUACAUCUAGUUGGAGUUUAACCUAGUAAUGAACUUGGGCAUGCCGGCAAUCUGGUUCAAAUAAUAAUUGAUUCAAAGCACAUUAGAAGUGCUGUGUGAGUUUGGGAAGCUUCUUAAUUACAAACCUCCUUGUGUAAUUCGAAGCAUUUCUUUAAAGUCAUUUUCAGAUUUGGAAGCUUGCAUCAAGGAAACAUACAGGUUGUGAUUUCCACCUUGCCAAUACUAGACUACGAUGGAACUGCACUACUUUGAGAGCUUCAUCAACAUUUUGAAGAAGGUUUAAGGCCCCAUUGGUAUCAGCUUGUUUUGGUGAUUUUCAUCUCAAAGGAGGGCAAUCUCAAUGCCUACUUUAUUGUUUCAUGUUUGGCAGGUCCCUUGUUUGCAGAUUUUUCAUAAGCCACUUGAGCAUUUAUUAGCAGAGAGCUCUUUUACCCAAGGUUUCAAGGAUUGAUCUUCAGAGAUCUUCCCCUUUCU